UGACUGACUUCUUUCAAUAUAAGGCAAUUUAAAACAAGUGCGAUAUAAAGAAAGGCAGUUUAAAACCUGCUAUAAUCACUCUGUAUAUACAAAGAUACAAUAAGCCUGAGAUGUAUAUAGAAAUACAACUGAACUGAUAUAUAUAAAAAUACAAUAAUUUUUGUGUAUGAAAAUACAAUAACUACUGUGGGAGUUUCUCUAACCGACAACCAUCACAUAAGAGCUAUAGUGAUGAUACAACGAUCGACCUCACGCUGCCAGAGCAUCCUAUUCCCGGCCAAAGGUAUAGGACCUGAACUGCCUAAUGGAUCCACUAGUCUAUUGCGAAAAGGAUUCNNNNNNNNNNNNNNNNNNNNNNNNNNNNNNNNNNNNNNNNNNNNNNNNNNNNNNNNNNNNNNNNNNNNNNNNNNNNNNNNNNNNNNNNNNNNNNNNNNNNNNNNNNNNNNNNNNNNNNNNNNNNNNNNNNNNNNNNNNNNNNNNNNNNNNNNNNNNNNNNNNNNNNNNNNNNNNNNNNNNNNNNNNNNNNNNNNNNNNNNNNNNNNNNNNNNNNNNNNNNNGAGCCUUAAAAUUGAAGUUAAAACGUUCAAUAAAGACUCUUGAACAACUUUAAAGACUUGCUUGGACUUACUUCUUAACUUCUAAGAUUGACUCUAACUUCACUUGACUUUGAUCCAAACUUUCCUCGAAUUGGAUUAUGAAUUCAAGGGUAAUGAUCUCAUGUUUAUGGAUGAGUUCGGGAGGUUUAAAUGUACCUUAGAGUGUUGAAAACAACUAUAAAACAUAGGUACAUUACCAAGGAACAUGUAUGAAAAAGUGGGGAAGGAAUGGGAAAACUUGGCGUUCUUGGUGCUCUGAGAGGCGCGGAACGCCAGACCUAAAAGUUCAGAAGGGCCUGGUUGGGGCACUGCUAGGGGCGCCGCCCCAAGGGCUGGACUUCAGAGUCCCUUUUGGGGCGCGCUGGCUGGCGCGACGCCCCAGCCCUUUUCCCCAAAAAUUUGACUUUUCUCCCUCAUUUUUCCAACUCUAAAUCACCUUAACUUCAAUGGAUCCAGCCCCAAACACUUAGAAUCAUAAACCCCUCAACAUACAAUAGAUUUCAACUCACAAACACAACCGGAAACAUGCCCAAAAUCAACAAGAACUUCAACACAAUCACAACCAACAACUUCAACAAAUACAACCAACGACUUCAACAAACACAAUCAAUCUUUUCUCAGAAUUAAAACGAGUUUGGCGUGUGGGGGAAAGAACCAAUCCAACACUAUGAUCUCACAUACCUAGUAGGGAUCACCCCCGACGAUAUCCACGACGAUCUUUGACGAAAUCUUGCUUGAUUUUAUGUUUCUCCUCUUCUUCUCCUCUUCACUCACAAACCCUUACUCUCACUCUUUUAAAAAGGAAAAAAAACUGAUCUAAAAAUCAGUCUAAACCCUUAAUAUAACCAAAACAAUUGAUUAGGGAAAAGACCAAAAUACCCUUACAAUUUCCGGACAGACUUCCCUGCCAACUGCCCAACUUCCAAAAGGCAUAACUCACUCAUACGAACUCGGAAUCGAGCAAACUCGGUGGCGUUGGAAAGAUCAUUCCACGAGCUUCGCAAACAUAACUGGAACUAUACCUAAAUAAUAUUGAGCUAGAAGUUAUGACUGUUCAAAGUUGGCCAAAAACUCACUUUUUUCCCAUACUUACCAAAUUUUCCAGAUUUUUGAAUUCCUUCCAAAAAUGAUUAAUUCCAAUUCUAAGCCUCUUCAUAGUUAUUUCAAAUUGCCAGAUGUUACAUGACAUAUGUUGCAACAUAUGUCUACUUUGUUGGAACAUAUGUGUUAUUAUGUUGUAGUUGUAACAAAUAAUUGGCAUAUGUUGGAACAUAUGCAAUAUUAUGUUGUAAGAUCUAUGUUGGAAUAGAUGCACAAUUAUGUUGUAAGAACUAACACAUAACUAACAUCUAUUGAAGCAGAUGCAAUAUUUUAUUGUAAGCAGUAACACAUAAUUGGCAUAUGUUGUAAUAAAUGCAUAAUUAUGUUUUAAAGAUGCAUCAGUUCAAAAUAAAUCACACAUUUUAUAUAAAUAACAUAACUUGAUUCAAAUGAACAUCAUCCUCAAAUAAAAAAGAACAUUCAUUAAAAUUCAACAAUACUUAUGAAGCAUUUCGAUUUGGGCAUGUAAUUUUUUUGUGACCAAAGUCCUUACAUACGGAACACUUGUUUUUUCUUGUUGGAAAUGAUUCACCAACUCCACGCCGUCUCUUAUAACUACUUCUUCCAGGUUUGCUUGGAUCAACAUAUGGAGGAGGUAUUUUUCUCUCUAAGAAAUCCAAAGGGACAUUCCAAGAAUCUUCGGGUAACACUGGGUGAAUUUUCUCACUAUAGGCAAUUAUGUAAUUUUUCACUGAAUAAUAUGGAGAUGAGUAAUCAUAAAUCUGCACCAUAUUGGGAUCGAAGCACUGGCAUGGCAUGUGGACAAGGAAUUUUGUCCAAGUCAAAAAUUCUACAAGUAUAGGUUCUUAUUUGUAGAUCCACCGUAGCAGCAUCACCAUGACCAGUGUCACUGAACUUGUAGUUUGCAAUUUGAUGAGCCAACAACUUGUUGCUCGAGUUGACAUACUUUGAUAUGUCUUUUUCAAUUGAAGGAACAAAUAUAUUUGAAGAGUUCACCAACUCCAUACGCCUCUGGAGAAAUAAAAGUGUAAAUCUCCUUUUUUUUCAUCAAAUAGAGUGACAAUGGGAAAUUCUCUUUUAACAUCAAACAUAGUAUUCACCGACUCCGCGAUGUUUGACGUCAUAAUGUUAUAUCUAAACAACAAUAAAAAAUUAAUCAAAAAUAUCAUAAAAUUACAAUAAACUCAAACAAGAUAGUAUAGACAAUAAUGUACCUAUUUCUCAGGCAAAAUGCCCUGCUCCAUCUGUGAAAUCUAAUACGUUCAAGAGUUUCAGCUGCCUUUGGUACCAAAUCUCUUAUUUGAUUGAAAUGGUCAUUGAACUCACGUCUAUUGUACGCCUUUGCUGCUUUAUAAAAAUGGGAUGCUACCUUUGAAUUGUGAGAGUUAUUUCGAAUAUUUUCCCCAAGGUGUCUCAUGAAACAACCAUAAUGAGAUGCGAGGUAGAUAGUCGAAACCAUCUUUUGAAUACUGGGAUGCAUAUCAUAAAUAAUGCCACUUGAAAUAUUUAUAUGAGUAUCAUCUACAUAGCUUCUCAUAUGUUCAAAAAAAUAUUUAUAUAAGGCAUCACAUUCCUUGUCCACAACACAAAAAGCCACUGAAAAUAUAUGAUUCCCAGCAUCUUGUGCCACCACCGAUAGCAAAACUCCUACAUACUUGCUCCUCAGGAAUGUCCCAUUAAUGACUAUUACUUUUCUCAUUUGUUAAAAACCAAUCAUCCAAGCGGCAUCUGAUACAAAUAAGUACUUGAACCUCUCAUUUUCAUUGAGUGACAAUGUCAUCUUGCUUCUUGGAUUUGCAAUUUCAAGCAUAUAACGGUACGCAUUAAGCACUGCAUACCCGUGGUCAUGUGUUCCCCUAACAGAAGACUUAGUAUGCUCCAUGCCCUUAUAAAUCUUCCAAUAACUUACCUUACAACCCAAUUUUGUGUGGGGUUGAUUCGACAUGUCUCUUGUGGAUGGGUCUUUACCAUUGGGAAACCUAUUUUCAAAGUAUUUACCUAUGACUUUUGCCGUGACAUGUGGAUUAUGGCUGAUGAGUCGGGGAUUUCGACUCAUUUAGGGAUUAAUAUUCAAGGAAUUAGUGUCCUAAAUGCCUAUUUUAUAAUCAUAACUGAUCUUAAAAUGUUACUAUAUGCAACAUUUGAGGCAAAAGAGUAAGGCAAGGACAUUACAAGGCAAAUAGGAGCGAAAAAAACUGAAAAAGUUGAAGGAAAGCUAACUUGGCACUCGUCAAAGCUACUUGGGGAGUCGUCGAGUGGACCUUCAGCUCACCCAAAGUUCCAGCAUACCAGCUCAUGGACAAGACCAACUUGGCGAGCAGACUAGUGGUUCGGCGAUGCACCGAAGAGAUCGGCGAUGCCUAUCUCGAUCGCCUAAUGUUACAGAAUGAGUUGGUAAAAAGACACACCAAGAAAGCGAGAAGAGAAGCGUUCGGCGUAUCGCUGACCAGUUCGGCGAACUUGACUCACUUCGCCAAAAGUUACAUAAUGAUUUGCUGAAAAAAGACACGCCAAGAAGGCGAGUAGAGGAGCACUCGAUGUAUCGCCGACUUACUUCGCCGAGUGGACUCCAUGCUGAAAUUUUGGGAACGUAUAAAUGCAAUUUUCAAAAGAAGAGAAGGAGUUCCUACAUUGUUCACUGCUGGGUUUUUAGUCUUUUACAUUCUAAAACAUUGUUUUUACAUUUUUGAGCAAAGAUUUAGAGAUUGUGAGAUUUUUCAGUUUAAUUUGAGCAUUUGGAGACUUGUGGAUCGUUGCCUAAUCUGCUAGAAAACUUCGUUGGUAAUAAUUUCUUGUUCUUUACUAUGUUUAGUUAAAACCCCAUUCUUGGGGGUGUGAUUAUGUAGUUGAAUGCCUUGAUUAGCUAAUGUGUGUAAUUAGUUACUGAAUUUAUUGUUGAUUUGAAGUGGGUUCAAUUAGUUAUUCGUGUUUUAAUCGAUGAAUUGAAGUUGCAAAUGCAAUACUAGUUUAGCACUCUAUGCUUGCUUGAGAAAGAAGUGUUAGAAUCGAAUUAUUAGUUGAUGAUUGUAUUGAUUGUGUUGUUACGGAUCUAGCUUGAGAAAGUGGGUUUGAAUGCAAUCUUACAAAUCUAGCUUGAAAAAUGGAUUGAUUAAGGUAAUGGGUUGUUUUAUUGUUGUCACGACCCAAUCCACCGGGUUGUGCAGGCACCUACUCUAACACCUAAGUAGGAGGACCCUUGAUCCCCAAACGAUUAAAAACAUGCGGAAGAUUAAGAAAACUAGAGAUGGAAAUUCAUGAGAUUUUUACAUAAUAAGGAGUUUAAACAAUCCAAAGUUAAAUUUGUAAAAUAAAUUACGCCCCAGGGAUCUAGUCUAAACAGGUACAAGAGCUUCUAAGAUUACAGGGUAUAAAAUACAGUAACUAGUGACACAACUCCCACCACAGGGAAGGAAAAGUGGAAGCUGUUGGAGAUUGUCUUCGUCUUCACCUAUGAAACAUCACUGUCCCUGCAACCAGACUAUGCCAAAUGGCAUAGCAAGAGUAGUAUCAGUACAAACAACACGUACUGGUAGGCAUCAUCGGUCAACCCAAUUCCCACCGCAUAAUAUAAAGAAAUCAACCAGCAGGAAACAUGCAAUAAGAAAGUACACCCCUCAAUCUUUAUCCUCAUGCCUUUACCAUUCCUGUAUACCUUAAACGUACUAGUACACUUGACUCUAACCCCCUACUCUAUCACUUUGCUCGCUCUGUUCUUAAUCAUAGCUUAACCCUUUUAUCUCAUAAAGGAGUUACCGAAUACAACCAUUACCAACUCGGCCAACCACUCACGACAUGCCCUCACUUCUUCUGCAUCACAAUUCAGCCCUUGACCACAUAGUAUACUCUAUCAAGGCUCGCUAACCGUUUCGAAUACGAAUCCCCUUCCAAAGGUAGGACCUAACUACUUUUUGCAUCAUGAACACUACCCCAUUUCUCAUUGUUUAAGAACACAGACAACCUCUUUAAAAAUAUCUGAUAGUAACACAUGGACCCUCGGUCUCCAUUUACCAAACCAUACAGAUUGGGCAUGAUCAUUCACAAUUAAUUCCAUUAAACGAGCUAUAAGCAGGUAACCACAACACAAUAAAAGCUCAUAUACCGAGAUACAAAAUCAGUCAUCAUUUUAGGAGCAAUAUACAAUUCCUUAAUAUCAAUGAUAGGUAGAUAUUAAUGUAGCAUUCACAAAUGGUCCUCUCAUGGAACUCACACCCAAACUGUUAGUGUGUCAGAACGUGACACCCGAUCAAAUAUAUAUGUGUCGGAACAUGACACCCAGUCCAAUGUAUGUGUCGGAACAUGACACCCGAUCUAAUAGAUGUGUCGGAACGUGACACUUGGUCCAGUCAGCAUAAACACAAUCACACCCAUAAUGAACAGUUCCAUAGUCACACAGUCAGGUAACAUGUUCAUGGCAUGUAAUUGUCCAUACUUAGUCAUUUCAUUAGGUUCGAUUCAUCUUUCUCUAUUCACAUACAUACAUGCAUACAAUGGAGCAACUAACAAGCAUAUAUAACAGAAAUAUGAAGUCAAACCAUCACCUACCCCUAGUUCACAGGACGAGGCUUCCCCUCAUGGUACACAUCAUAUUUAACAACUAGAAGUACAUGUACAACCAUCCCUUUUUCCAUGCCCGAAGGUCUAAACAUGAAUUCUACCAUCAAUUAGCAAUAUAUUACGCAUUGAGCAAGAAUUUACGACUACUCAAGUAAGUAAACCUAGCCUACCUGGGCGUCAAGCAGCUGCAGAGGGAUUGUAGCUCUAAUCCUGGCUUCCGAACAAUGAUACGGUGGAUUUUGGCCUGGAAUCAGCGAGUUGUCGUCAACCUUGCACUAGAAAUCUAUUUAUUUUUCCUUUCGAAGCCUAGACCAGCUUUUUGGGGAUUUAUCGGUGACCCUCGCCUCUUUUUGGCACUUAGGGAAAAAUGAGGAAAUAAGACUUCGCGUCAUUAAGUUCUUCCCUCCGACCAUCCCGCUCAGGCGCUCCCAUCCUGCUGGAGAGCCGUCGUCGUAGCGGCAUCAUCCCGCUCUGGCAGGACAGUGGGGUUUAGUUACUCACGACGUUUUACCCUUAAUAGGUAACGAUGGUUCAGGUCGUUACAAUUGUGUUGUGCCUGUUGAGGUUCAAAAGGACUCAUUUGAUUCGCAAUAGUUGAUUGAGAAAUGGCUAUUGCACCCAAAACCUAGCCUACCCACCGAGAUUCAACAUCUUUGAGUAACUAGUAAUCACCCAUUACACGAAAUUAGCAUUCAAUUUAUCACACUCUAAAAAAACCUUCUCUACUUGUUUACUUCCCAGUUUAGUAGUCAUAAUUUGGUUACUUGAAAUCCCCUCCCCACCCCCCCCAUUUGGCAUUAAUUGCCAAAACUUUGUGAUUUACUUUAAAGUUGCAAAGCUUCUACCUCUACAAACAAUUAGAACACAAUUUUACUUCUUAAUCAAAUUCUCUAUUGUAUCACUCCCUGUGGGAUUGGGUUCAUACUUGUUAGCGACCGCCUACACUUAGAAUUGGAUGAAGUGUAGUUAAGCGUUAUCAAUGGAUCGUAAGAUGUUAUGAACCACAUGUAUGGUACUUUUCAUAGAUUCUAAUGACAAACUUGUCGCUACUUGUAAAUUUCACAGCCCUCAAACACCACUUGCACUUCGGGUAUGAACAUUUAAAUGAAUACACAUAACGAGAAUUGAUCACCUUUGUCAGUCUAAAAUCUUUAUUUAAGAAAGCGAUUUUCAAUGAAUUUGCUAGUUCUUCCUUGUUCUUGAAUGUCAUUCCCUUAUAAAAAUCAGUUUUAUCAUCUUGAACAUUAUUCACACGUGAUGAUUGAGAAGAAGAAGGAUUGUUGCUCCCAAUAAUAGGUUUAGGGAAAUUGUUACCCCCAAGGUCCAACACUUCAUCUCCUUCAAUUUCAUCAUGGUGGUUAUUCAUAUCCACGACAUCAAAUUCAUCAUUUAACAUAUCUUGUUGAUUUUCUUCUGGCUUAUGAUUCUCCUCGAUAGAUUUUUCAACCACAUAGUCUCUUAACAUGGGCCUCACUGCUCCUCCCAAAUAAACAAGCAAACUAGGCUGAUCGGUUAUUUUAAAAGGUAAGACCUUCUCAUUAUGAAAUAACCUGGGAAUGUAACUAAUGACAAAAUCUUUCCGUUGACAAUUAAGUCCACAACUAUGGAUGAUUAAAUUCACAAAAUCAUCAUACAAAAUAUUUUUUUCGACAGUCAUUCCUACCGACUGUUUCAUACCAUCCUUCCAAUGCCAAAUAUAUCAAUUUUUAUUUUCAAUUUAUUCACUACAACAAUCAACCCCUAUGAAUAGUCCCUCCAUUUAUUGUACCUGAAUAAAUUAAUUCAAAAACAAUUAGUACUAAUGAUAGAAUAUGACUUCAUCAUUUGUUGCAACAUAUGAGUCUUAUGUGGCAACAUGUGACUAUUCUGUUGCGACAAAGAAGUCAUAUGUUAUCACAUAUGUCUAUUAUGUUACGAAAGACAAAUCACAUGUUGGAAGAGGUGCAAGUCAUCUGGUGCAACAUAUGACUAUUUUGUUGAAACAUGUAAGUCAUAUGUUCCAACAUAUGACCAUUUUGUUGCAACAUGUAAAUCAUAUGUUGCUACGUAUAGGUAUUCUAUUGCGACAAAUAAAUCACAUGUUGGAAGAGGUGCAAGUCAUCUGGUUCAAUAUAUGACUAUUAUGUUGAAACAUGUAAGUCAUUAAUUCCAACAUAUGACCAUUUUGUUGCGACAUAAAAGUCAUAUGUUUCUAUAUAUGUCUAUUAUGUUUCGAAAGAUAAAUAACAUGUUGGAAGAGGUGCAGGUCAUCUAAUGCAACAUAUGACUAUUUUGUUGGAACAUGUAAGUCAUAUGUUCUAACAUAUGACCAUUAUGUUGCGACAUAAAAGUCAUAUGUUGCUACAUAUAACUGUUCCAUUGGGACACAUAAAUCACAUAUUGAAAGAGGUGCAAGUCAUCUAGUGUAACAUAUGACAAUUCUAUUGGAACAUGUGAGUCAUAUGUUCCAACAUAUGUCCAUUUUGUUGCGAGAUAAAAGUCACAUAUUAGUACAUAUAACUCUUAUGUUGUAACCCAUAAAUCACAUGUGUAAGUUAUAUGUUGCAACAUAUGAUUUAUCAAUCGCAACAAAAUAGUCAUAUGUUGCAACAUAUAACCUUUUUGUUGCAACAUAAUCUGUUCCAAUAUCUGACUUAUUCAACACGAGUCAACAGAUAUAACCAUCUUUUGGAAACGCGAAUGCAAAUUAUUGAAAAAAUUACAGUUAUGCUCAGAUGAUAAUGAAUGAUUCAAAGAACUAUUAAUUUUACUUACCAAACAAUGGUGUGUGAACACAAUCACUUAUGAAGUAAUGUCAAUUGAUAUAGAACGAGAUUUGGUCAACUGAUUAGUUAAAUCUGAUUCAAAAAGAAGAUAAGAAGAAGAAGCACAAGGAAUAGCAGUUAAGAGAAACAAUGUACGAACAAGAAGAAAAAGAAAAAGAUGACGAGAACAGGAAGAAAGCAAGCAAGAACGAACAAGAAGAAAAAGAAAAAGAGAGGAAUCCGGCUGGGAGGCGGGGAGAUUUGCAUCUUUUAUUUCCCUUUUUGGUGUGCUGACUUCCCUCCAUUUUUUAUUUCCACCAUAUUUGGUUAAAUUAGGUUUUAGUCUUUUACCUUUUUACCCCUCAUUUAAUACAAUGGACCAAAAUGUCAACUUAAAAACUUGAGGGCAACUCCCACAAAUGCCUCACAAAUCCUUAAUCCUUAAUUACAUAAUUGUCACCUACACUCAAUUAUUAUAACUUAUGUCACCGUCAUUUAAUUUUGACACCUUAAUGUCACCCUUAAUUCAAAAUCCUGACUAAUUUAUUGGGUUUUUGACUAAGUCAACAGCCCUCCAAAUUUUGGAAAUAUCUUUUUUAAUAAGCUAGUUUUAAAUAUAUAUAUAUACCAUAAAGUAAUUAGUUUCAAUUAUAUACAAUAAAUUGUUCAAGAAAUCAUAUAAUUCGAAUCAUAAAAAUGGUAAAUUCAAAUGUGGAUUUGAUAACCCUAACUAUGGAAAUAACUUCAUGAAAAUUUAGAAGUUUUAGACAUGAGAAUGAAAGGAAAUAUUCAUUAAAGUCCUACAUACCUUAAAUUUGAAGUUUAAGAAAAAUAAUCGUAAUUUAAAUCUCUAGAAUCCUUGUAGAUCUUGUUCUUUGAAGUGUUGGGGAAAAAAAGAGAAAAAUUUAUUGUAACCUAUAAAAUCUAAUUAAUUAUUACUUUUGGGAGAUGUUAAUAGAUGUGGGUUGAGAUUAUGAGAUGAGGAAAGGAUGAAAACACUCAUUCUAAAAUGUGGAAAGAAUAGAAAACUAAAAGAAUUUCAUAGAACAUACGCGAUCGCGCACCUGGAGACUAGGACUCGUGGUUGUUCCCUCAACCUUGGCAAUAAGCACUAGUCCUACCGCACAGUCACGUCGUUGGCGUCCUUCCGCGCAAGGGGUCAUGCAGAUUGUAUAGUAUCUAGUCAAAUGUGAAUAAUUUUUAGCACAGAAUUUGAAUCGACAAACUGUAAAAGGAGUUGGAAAGAAGACUUCAAGAUAUUUCAUUUGGUUGGUUUUAGGCCAUAAAAUUUUUCAUAUUGUAGAAGUCUCUUAUGACCUUAAUCCACAUUAAAUACACUUCUCACACUUAAGAACUAAUCUAAGCAAAUAUAUAUACAAUUAGAAAUCAUCAAAUUCGAGCCUAUAUGCAUAUGGAAUAGUUUGGAUUUUUGCUUAGAAGUUGCGGGAUGUUACACUAUUCAAUCUCGAUCAACUCAAAAUCACCUAUAAAAGUCCCACAUUUUAGAUAUUAAAUCAUUUUGAUGUUUCGAGUCUUUUAAUAUAUAAUUCUCUCGAAGCGAUUCAUGUUUAUAGUACGUAAUUUUAUUUUUUAUUUUUACAAAAGAAGAGGGAUACGAAGAAGAAGAUGCAAAUGAAGAAUGACAAAAAAGGAGGAGAAGGAGAAGAAGAAGACAGAAGUGUCAAAUGAUCACUUAUUGUAAUAAGUGGCUUAUUUUUUCAAGUGGGUUAGUUUUGCAAAAAAAUUAACCUAUUGGACAUUUUGUCUAUUUUUUCAUUUAUUAAUCCCUAUUUGUCUAUCUACUUGAUAUAAGAGCCCGUGUCAGGCCCAAUAUAUGUUACUCUUUUUGUCCAAUUUAUGGAGGAAAAAAAGUUCAUAAAUAAUUUUUACAUUAGUUAGUCUUGAUAUUUUAUUCCUAUAAAAAUAAUCUAUCAAAAAUUACAUUUAUUAAUUUCAUAAAAAUUAUUUGAACAAAUUGUCCUUCAAAGUUGUAAACAAUUAGCUAAUGUUUUGGCUUUUCUCUGCAUUUCCAUUCUCUUGUCUAUUUUUUACUUCCCGCAAUUGGUGGUUUCAUUGAAGAUGCUCUGUCAUCUCUCAUGUCUACCUCGCAAGGAUUUGUCCAAGUGAUCAUAUGCUUGUUACCAUGCAACUAAGCAAUCAGACCGUUCAUGAUGUCGCCUCCUCCCAUUUAAACUACUCUCUCAAAAAUGAUUUAGCACUUUCAUUUAUUUUUUUGUAUCACUAAGUUCAAUUUCUCUUUGGUAAGGAUCUAUUGAAGUCGAAAUUCUUAACUCUCAGCCUCAUAAGUUUUGCUAAACAUGAGAUAACAUCCUCCUGGUUCUCAUUUAUAUCUUCAAUCACGGUGAAUUUGUGAUAGAAUAAUGUAGCAUGACAUUUUUUCUUUUUGAUUCUAUACUUAAGGGGAAGCUUAGGUUGUGAAUGGAUAGCCUUUCAAUGUUAAGAGAAUUAGAGUUGCUCUCAGCUUUUUCUCUUGUGAAUGAUCAUUGUGUUUUUUGAUUUUGUGGGUGUACAAGUCAAAUCGAACUGAUGAAACAAGUAUAAUUAUCGAAAAAAAUUAACUUGUUAUUUGAUUUGAUUGGUAUGCUGAAAAAAUAAACCCAAUGACUCAUAGUUUGGUUUGGUGUUAACAUAAAAAAACUCAGAUGGAGUCCAUCUAACCGACAUAAUAUAAACAUAAUUUUAGUUUUUUAUACAUUAAAAAAUAUUAAUUACAAUCUACUUUGUUAAUAUAUUUUAAAUUAGUUUAUCGUAUUCAAUGUUUAGAUAUAUUAUUUUAAAAUUAGUUUUGUAAAUAUUUAUCGUAUUCAAUGUUUAGAUAGCGAAAGUUAACGAUUACUUUGUAAAUAUUUUGUUUUGUAUUUUAUUUGAUUGUAACCUUAAUCUUAUAAAUUUAGCAUAUUGGAUGUUGAUAUUUCAAUGAAAGUAUUUUGUACUCAAGUGAAUUUUACAAACAUUUUGUAAAUUUCUUUUUAGUUUACGUUUUUAAGUUCUACCAUAUCACAUAAUAAGUGAAAAUAUAUUUGAUCUCUUUCUCAAUCAUUAUGUAAUCGUAAGGAAACCGAAAAAAUGACUUUACAUUGGUUUGAUUUGGUACAUAGAUUUAAAUAAAUUGUCAUAAUUGAUUUAUUGGUAAGUUGUAUUAUCUCACAGUGACUAGGCUUGACAUUUCUUUUCUUGCAAGUGUUGUAAGUUAGUUUAUGGAUUCUCCAGGUGGUAUUCAUUGGGAUGCAAUUGCUUGCAUUCUACGAUAUAUAAAGUCAAUUCCAUACAAAGAACUACUCUUAUAGGAUCGAGGUCAUGAGCAGAUCAUUGGAUAUACAUAUGUCGAUUGGAAAGGUGAUCCUUUUGAUAGACAUUACUCAUCUGAAUAUUGUGUUUUUACUAGGCAGUACUUUGGUGUCCAGGAAGAGAAAGAAACAAAACAUAGUUGCUCGAUCUAGUGCAGAAGCAGAAUAUCGAGCAAUGGUCAUAGCAACUUGCAAGCUAGUUUGGAUCAAACAACUGCUCGGUCCUUAUAUUAGUUACAUCAAUAACAAGCCCAAUACAUAUGACUUGUAUGCGCCACCUUGAGGGAGAGUGUUAGAAUAGUCCUACAUGGAAAAGGAUUAUAUUUAGCGUCUAUAAAUAAGGCUCACUCUAAUAAUAUAGUCAACACGAUGCAAUAAUACUUCUCUCCUUUAUUUCUCACAAAGAUUAAUGACUAGAAAUACUGACUAGAAACAGACCGAUGCCUAAAUAUAUAUCUGUUGCAACUCAGACAGACGCCAAAAGUAAAAUACUGUACAUUUUUCACAAGAUAAGGUGCAACACGCAAGAAAACCAUUCUUAACAGUCCUACAUGGAAAAGGAUUAUAUGUAGCAAAUAGGGCUCAGUGUAAUAAAACAAAAGGUACAACAGAAAACAGUGUCCCAACUCCAGUGCGCACUCUGCAAAAAGAAAUGAACCUGCAAAAAUAUACACUAAAAUCAGAAUUCGAGUCUGAAGUAUAUUGGAAUUAUACAUCAGUCAUCCUAAAUCCAUAUAAUUUACAUUCUUUUUACUAUGUGUUAAAAGGCAUUGAAAACUUUACAGAAAACUGAAAAGACUCAUAACCAUAUUGAAUUACUUCAGAGAAUGAAUUCAGAUAUAGAUAUCUCAUAAAUGAAAGAAUAAUUGCAGCAGGAAGACACAACACUUAGCAGGAAGAGCACAACACUUGUUACUCAAGACAGACUGACUACAUAAGUGGUGAAGUCAAGAUCACUGCAGAACACAAAGAUUCCACAAUUUAUAUUCAUAUGGACAUGAUCACUGAUUCAAGGUUGUCAUGGAAAACGUGUAAAACUUUAUCAAACAACCAAAUAAGAGUGAAAUUUACAAUAUCUGAACUGGAAAGUGACAUUAGACAAAGAAAAUGAAAUAAAAACCAGUGAACAUGCUCCCAGACCUCGUCAAAGAAGAUAUGCAUCAAACUAAAGAAUUGUAACAACCUGACCCCUGAUCUUGAGCAUUUUAUGGUUGAAAUUGCGUUUUGAAGCUUUGAAUAAGUUUGUAUAACCAUUUGGGACUUGUUGGGAUGGUCGGGUUGAAAACCCGAGAGCUCAGGGAUGUUUUCACACUAAUUCAAUUGAGUAUUACUGAAAAGUCUAGUACUGGUGCAACCACAAAAGUAGAAGACUCUCCCCAAAUGCAGAGAGUCGACUGCAAAUGUGAAUUAUGGCUCGCAAAUGCGAUGGGGGAAAGAUUGUCCAAGUCCAUAUAAGGAGACCACCCGUCCAUUCCCCAACCAAUGUGGGACUUUUACCCACUCUGAUAGAUAUCAACCCAUACCAUUGACAUAAGUGGAUGAUCAUAUUCAAUUUUGGUUGGAUUUUAACCAUAGAAUCAUGAGAAUCAAGUGUCUAAAUUGGAGAUUUUUUACCAAGUUCCCAAUAUAGUAAACUAGGAAUUUGAC
rnacentral:lncRNA from 1 species